GAGAUGGCCUAAAAGGACCAAAAAGGACACGGUCCGAAGACAGGGCACAAGCAUCCGUGGAAUUAAUUUGUGUUUUAUUUUUUAUUGUUUGGUCUUUUACUAAAUAAAUCAGUCACUUUUUUUUUGUUUGGGGUACAUCGAUAUUUUAUACUUAAAGAAGGGGGAGUUUGACAAAGUCACACAAUGGGUAACCUAAUUUGAUAUCGAAUUCGCCAUUCACAAGAUUCGAACCUAAGACAUCUCAUUUCCAAGUGAAAAGGAAUAUCACCAGACUGUACUACAGUUUAGUGGCAUUCCAGUUCAUUUGUAAGUGAGAAAUCUUAGGUUCGAUUUUGUCAAAGGCGAAUUUGAACCACAUUAUUAGUAACUCAUUGUGAGGCUAGAGAUAAGGGCACAAAGACAAUGCUAACCUAAUAUGCAGCGAUUUGAAAAAGAUGUCAGUCAGCCCAUAUGUGCAAUCUCAAAUUGUGUGCCCAACCAGCUGGACAGUAGUGAGUAAUUUUGACUAGACAACAUAACUAGAUAGAAUGAAUUUAGGUUUAUGCAUAAAGUCCACAUGAAUGAACAAAGGUUUUGUGUUGAUAAUUGUCUUUUAGCUAAUGCCCAUGGACACAUAAUCCAACAGAAUAAACCCAUAAAAAGAGUUGUAAAUUCAAAACUAUCUAGAAGCAUAUGUGGUGUAAUUUACAACUUUUGAUAAGGAAAGCCAAACAAUUAAAUCUAGACUUCACAAUCUCCCUGUUGACUUUCCUUGACAAAAUAUCCCAAAAACCUACAACUAAAUUCACAAAUAAUCCCCACUCAAGAGAACAUGAAUUAAUAGGAGAAGGCCAAGUAACAACGCCUGCAUAAAAACAUUUUCUUGGCAAGAAACAAGUGAAAUUUAUCAUGAGUUAGGUAAUGAAACAAUUAUAUGAGACCAUCAUUAACUACUUGGGAUUUUUUCUCACCCGUUUUGUCGUGGUAAGACAAAGACAAGGCGGAAUAUCACAUGCAAUGUCCAAAGCAAAAAGACACAUAGCAAACAAACAGGAGUAGCAGAAGCACAACAGAUAACAAAUAGCAAUAGAUCAUAUGAGCAUGCCUAAGCAAAAUGAAACAACAAUCAAACUAGCAACAAGUGACCCAGCUCCUCCCACAAGGAUGAGGGCUUAAUAUGAAUGGCAUAUUAAUUUCUAAGAGCACAAUGACAAGAUAACAAGAUAGUGCCAACUGUAUUGAAUGAAAAUGGUGCAACAAGAGAAUAAGAGCAAACGAAGAACAUAAAUAUAUCCAAAAGAAGGUACAAUUCUCGAUACCAAUUGAUAAAAGAACAUGGCAUGAUCAAGGAAUAUAUUCAAGGCAACCAUGAACAACCAACACAAGAGUAGCAUAACUAAGUACAACAUAAUAAGAGUUUCCAAUUUACAAAUAAUCCGCUAUCACAAAAAGAAAAGAAAAAAUGAACUCUCCCAUAAAAAAGUGCUCUCCUAAGAUACUAAACACUCACAAACUCACUCAUAAAUAAUACCCCAAUGAAUUUCUAAGUAAAACGCAUGAGGGGAAUAGAGCUUCAUAACUCCUCAGAAUGGAACACGCCACUAGAAGCAACAGAGUCAAAGAUAUAGUCAAUCAACUAGAUACAACUUCUUCCAAUUCAUGGACAAAAGCCGCAACAAUACUAGAAGCGUACACUCUAAAGUAAACAACCUAUAGAGUUUUGAGGAAGAGUCCAAAACCAAGGAUAACUCACAGGAAUGGUGGAGAUGGAGUAGAGAAUUGCAACUUGACAUGAGAGAAUCACAAAAGAAUAGAGUUAGGAAAUGAACUCAGUACACAAUACACCUACAAAAGUUCAUACUCUCCCAUAACCUUAGCUUUCAUCAAAAUACUACAUUCCCCCAUAAACCAAGACCACGGCUUGAAACAUGCACUAACAAAUAUAUCCUUAAAACAUAUCACUUUUCUGAGAAGCGAGUGACUCAGCAAAAAAAGGAAGAUGUCCAUUUACAAAUAGUUUUGUGCAAAAACAUAAACAAUGUACCCAAACAUAUGUGUGCAAACAAAUGAAAAGAUAGAGAUCAAGAUGACAUUUGUAAUACUUGCACCAAUAAACAACAGCUAAACCACAAGCCAUGAAGGGAUUAAUAAAAAGUAGUUUGAGACCCUUUUGGAAAGUAUAGAGGACGAGGCCCACCGUGAGACACAACACAAAUCACAUUACAAAGUUACAUGAGGCUUUUAUCUAAAUCUUUUGUAGACCCAGGACAAACAACACUAGGCCUAGAAGAAACUCAGGCAUGUUAACACAACAUGGUAAUGAGACAAGGAUGAAUGGUAGAACCUCACUAUUGCUUUCCCCGACAUUUGGUUUUGGACAAGAUUGACCUUUUGAUAGAGAGAUAGAGGUAUAUCUAGUAGUUUGGAAACAAGUCUUAUGACGAGAGAAAGGUGACUGAGAAUUGGAGUCAUGGGAUGAGGAGUUGUUUCUAGGCAUGAUGAAGAGUUUUUUGGUGAUGAGUGUUCGGAGAUUUGCAGUUAAGAGAGACAAGGAUGAUGACAAACAACACUGAGGAGAGUGAAAACAAUGAAGAUACCACACUAAAGACAAAAAGAUCACAAAAGAUAAGCACAAUCUGGCAUCACUAAGCUACAACUACCUAGACAACUCUCAAAGAGAACAAAGAUGAAAACAUCUCCAAUAUCUAUGCUUCCAACCAAAAGAGCUAAACUUAACUAAAUGUUUGAAUGCAAUGUAGAACUACAAACACAGGUCUUCAAGGUCAUACAUGGUCAUUAAGGCCUAGAUUAACACAAGUUUAUACAGCAGUAAUGAUGUGUCAAGGUUAAGGGAUGGGAUUUUUUAUAGCCAUUUUUAAAUCAAAACUCCAUGUCACUAGGCUCAAUAUUAAUUUGAAGGCUAAUCAAACUUUUAAUAAUCCAUUAAGUUCAAGAAACAACACUUGAAAACGAGCAAAAGAAAAACACAAAACUACUCACAUUGGAAAACCAAAGCCAAAUGAAAUUUUAAGAUGGCAUAAGAUGACGAGAUACACAAGUCAUUUGAUAUGGUUGGUGCAAGAUGUAUUGAAUGUACCAUAAGACAUUUUUGAACUUUUUAUAACAAGUGAAAAUGACUUGAAGACACAUGACAUUGCAUGAGGAAACACAUUUGUAGGGAAGAAUGAUUGAGAUUUUCUUUUUGGAAAUUUGAGUAUGUUGCCCAUAUUUAGUGAUAUUGAAGCUCAUAAUGGAGAUUUUAUUUUUGAGGAGCAAUGAGCAAGAUAGCAAGAUAGAAACAUGUGGUGUUUUGCACUGGAGUUGAUACUUAAACUCAAUUUAUGAAGUAAGUAGUGUCACUAUAACCUAAUCAUCCAUUCUAGGGAGAACCUUUGACAUAAUAGUGGAAAUAUUAUUCAAGGUUAAUCCACAAAAUAUGAACCAUGUAUGACAAUUAAGAGAUGCGAAAUGAGAACAAUAAACUUACUAAUGAGAUGUUUGUCUAGUCACGUACAACUAUAAAAACUACAUAUGAAACAAGUAAAAUUGGAAGCUAUUCAACCUAUUCAAUUGAUGGCACAAAGUACAAUAGGACAUCAAAAUUUUUUAAGACUUUGAUUGUCCAAAAUACUUGUGAGAUGGUUAGCUAGUUGUUUCUCAAAUGGCACUUUGAUUUGAAAACAAAUCUUUAUUUCCAUACACCCUCUAAUGAAAUGAGAUUAAGUUCCAAAAUGAUUGGUUGUUAAUUGUUGAACAAGAUUCCAAAAGUCAAUUUCACACACAAAGUCACAACAAAAACGAAUAGGCAAUAGUUUCACACCAAAGAUAUUUAACAGAUACAACACUCACACCAAUAAAUCACAAGUAAUCAAGACAAGAUCACAAUUUGCAUUUGCACAAGAGAGAAAAAAUGUACCUUCAAUUUUCCAUGCAUCUAGCAGACGAGAUUGUCAUUAUCUUUCGAUGAAAGAACAUUAGAGUUUGACCAUUUGAGAUCAUUUCAACCAGAUGAGGAGCUUUGGAAAUUCCAGAGUAAGAAACUCCUAUGUGAGACAUCAUAGAGUGUUUUUCCAAGUUGCAAGAUUCACAUGUAUAACAUUGAGAGAAUAUGAGAUGUCACUGUCCCCUUAGAACCCAUGGUUUGUAGGUUUCUUUGUUCAUAUUUGUGUGCUCACCACCUUUAGGAAUGACAAGAAAGUAGCAACUACCACCUGAUCUUGGAACAACCAGCAUGUUCUUUCCAUCUUUAUCAACAACUCUGCAACCUUUCUUGGAGAAACAGACUUCUUCUACAACAUCAUCAUGAAGCUAUCUAAUGCUAAGUAGGCUUGUAGUCAAUUCAGCCAAAUAGUAGAAUCUUUAAGCUGAUGAAGACUAGGAAUCUUGACUACCCAUUUUUAAGCAAACUCAAUCUCAUUACCAUUAUUCGGUAUACGUGGCAAGAAAACAUCUUUAUUCCUAGACAUAUGACACGAGCAACCACUAUCAAAUGCCAUACAUUUGGUUUUGGAACAAAAGGAGCACAGUUGAUAGGAGCAUAUUUAUGCGACUUUGUUAUCUUAUUUCUUUGCUUUUACUUAGUUAGUUUCCAUUUAUUUUGGUAAUUUAUGUUAUUUUCGUAUUAUUGUAGGUCUAGUUGGUAAAUAUGACAAUAAAUGGCAGAAUGGGAGCAAUUUGGAGCAGUUUUGGACUUGGAUUGGACAUAAGGCUUGCAUAGCAUAUGGGCUGGACGUUUUUGGUGUUUUUAAAAGGUGUUAAAACAUGUGCUAAAAUAUGGAGAAAUUGAAGUUGGAAUUUGGAAGAAAAAGGAAUCCUAGUGGGAGGAGCAUUAUCUUAUCCCAUCAUAUCCAAUCUUACCUUAUCUUAUCCAGAUUCAUCUUAUCCUUAUUCUAUUUUAUCCAACAUUAUCUUAUCUUAUCUCCAGUUGCAAAGAGGAAUCAUUUUCACAUUCCAACAAUUCCUAUCUGAUUUUUAGGAGUCCUAAAAUAAUUCAAACAACCUAAUCCUUUUCCUCCUAGGAUUCAGCUAUGCCUUUACCCUAUAUAUACAUUAUUGCUGCAAAUUAGGGGGGAGAAAAGAGUGCCGCAACCUGCAUCCAGAGAGGAAGUGCCACAACCUGCCAUUCAACCAUUGGAGUUUCCAGAGUUCUGGUGCGCAAAUUAACUUAACACACAAAUUAAACCCUCUUGUUGUCAAAUUGUAGUAUAAAUGCAAGUAGGGAUCGUUCUAAAUCAGGGAUUAGGAGGGCUUGCUAAAACCUCUAAACUGACUUAAAAACAUAUAAACAAAGUUAAAACACUAAACUAGACUCAAAGAACUUAAAACAAACUCAAAGAACUCAAAACAAGCUAAAAACGCUCAAAUCUGCCUAAAAACACAAACUGGGCAUAUUUGGACUCUAACACACUUUUGGGACACCUAAAAACACAAAUCAAAACAAAUUUUGACUAAUGAAACACUUUAAAGUAAAGGGGGUUUUGGUUUUGAGGAAUUUGAAAAAAAAACAAGUAAAUUAAAGAACUAAUGAAAUCUGCACGAAUUUGAGUAAAU
rnacentral:lncRNA from 1 species